AAUGUAGAAAAGAAGAAGGUCUCCCCAAGAGGCCACUGAACUUAUCUGGACAACAAGAUGCUGGACUUUAUGCUAGGAACAUGCUUACAAUGGAAGAAUUUCAACGGAAGUUGAACUGCGGUUAUGCAGCAAGAUGGAGCAAUCCACUACGGGAGAAGGGGU